UGAACGCUGGCGGCGUGCCUAAUACAUGCACGUCGAGCGACCAGACGAGGAGCUUGCUCCUCUGACGUUAGCGGCGGACGGGUGAGUAACACGUGGAUAACCUACCUAUAAGACUGGGAUAACUUCGGGAAACCGGAGCUAAUACCGGAUAAUAUAUUGAACCGCAUGGUUCAAUAGUGAAAGACGGUUUUGCUGUCACUUAUAGAUGGAUCCGCGCCGCAUUAGCUAGUUGGUAAGGUAACGGCUUACCAAGGCAACGAUGCGUAGCCGACCUGAGAGGGUGAUCGGCCACACUGGAACUGAGACACGGUCCAGACUCCUACGGGAGGCAGCAGUAGGGAAUCUUCCGCAAUGGGCGAAAGCUUGACGGAGCAACGCCGCGUGAGUGAUGAAGGUCUUCGGAUCGUAAAACUCUGCUAUUAGGGAAGAACAAAUGUGUAAGUAACUAUGCACGUCUUGACGGUACCUAAUCAGAAAGCCACGGCUAACUACGUG
rnacentral:rRNA from 1 species